AUCAUCUGAGGAUCUUGUUAAAAUGCAGAUUCAGAUUCAGUAGGGCUGGUGUGAGGCCUGAGAUUCUGCAUUUCUAACAUGCUCCCAGGUAAUGUUGA
rnacentral:pre_miRNA from 1 species